CAUGGGAGCGUGACCUUUGCUAUCUAGCCAUUCCUCUAUAUCUUUCCAUAACUGCCUCUGAAGGCUUUCAUAAAGAUCCCCUUUUAUAUUACCUCCCUACUAAAAUUAUUUCAAGUUUCAUUUCCAGGUUGGGAAAAAGGCAACAUUGCCAUCACAGGCAAAUGUCACCCAUAAUCCCACUAAUCCAUUCAUCAAGGUGUCUUCAGUUUGCUGAGAUUUUUAUCCUGCUAGCUCGGUGGGAAUGUGAUUGCUGUCCAAGAGUUUUUUUUCUAUUCAGGAAACUCAAGAUAAUUGCUUAGGUUCCUCUUUUCUACAGACACGGGCUAUUGUAGUUGUUGAGAAAAUGAGGAGCACAAACCAUUCCUCAGGAAAACUUCAACAUAUCUUAGAAAUGUUGAUCCCAGUAGGCCUUAGGCCCUUGUUCUGCCAAUUGACUGAGUGUCUUAAAGGACACAGACACCAAUGAAAAGAAAGGUCAUAUUUUACUAGGAAUACUAUGGCAAAAGAAAAGUAAAAUGAUGCAUUCAGUAAAACUACAUGCUUGGCUUUAGCAACAAGCAAAAACAAGCAAGGUGGUCUCAUUACUAUGAGACUACUAUAAGACUACUAUUACUCAUUACAAGAGACAGGAUAGUGAUUGAGAAAGAUCCAUCACCAAUGGCCUAAACACUUCACCAUCAUCCAGAGUCCACGGUUGCUGUGGAGCCCCGUUUCACAGAGAGGACCUGGAGAACCCUUCACCAGCAACCGAGAAAAUCCUACACGGUGCAUCCGCCUGUAGUUGAGGCCUCCAAAUUCACCCUGAAAGUGGGCACAGCUUUUAUAGGCCCAAAUCACCAAGUCAAAGUGACUUCAUUACAUUUUUAGCACAGGAACACCUGGAUCUGAUGGCACACUUCCCGACCAGCAGAGGCCAGGCCUUGGCCAGAGCCCAGGCCUUGUCUGGAAGGAUUUCCCCUAAAAUAUCCUACAAACAAGCCUCUAUUCAUGUCAGUUGGGAAAACGUCUUAAAAUUAGGGAUUUCUUGCAGAUAGCUACACAAGGUUAUGUAACAAGAAUGUCCAUCCUAAAACAGUGACAUGGGUUCUUGUGACCAACACACAGCUUCAGUAAAAGCUGAAAUGAUAUUUUCAAGAGGUGAGCCCAAGCUGAGGACAUGCAAACGUGAGAAAUGUUUAGGCUGGAGAGGGUCCAGGAGGGACAGAAGUGAUCAAAGGGCUGGAGAACCUGUGCUGUGAGGGAAGACUGGAGCAGUUGGCUCUUUUCUCCGUGGAGAACACGAGGUUCUAUGUACCUGAUUCCAGUACUUAGAGCAGAGAUACAAAGGGGACAGAGCAUCUCUGCUCACAAAGAGCCACAUGGAGAAGACAAGGAGCAGCAAUAUAGAGCCAGUCUUAAAGGUGCAGAAUUUAAUAUACAACAUAAACUAGGCGAUUGGUGAUGCCAGUAUCAAAAAGUCACCCCAGGACACCGAUGCAGAUCCAGUGCAGGGGAGAGAAGGGAGCGAGCACCCAGCUGCAGGAAAAGCACACAGAUCCUCCUCUUGCGUUCCAGCUGCUGGUAACUGUUGACUGUUGGCGUGUCUCAGCAGUGCCCAUCUUGCAGCUUUGACUCCUUUGACCUAUGGUGAGUCAUCCUGAGAUUCCAGGGAAAUUCCCCCCUGGCCCCAGGUGCUCUUUAUGACUUAGAUGUUCUUCCACAGGUUUUUGGUGUCUGUUAUGGUUAAGCUGCACAGGAUUCAGUGAGAAUUGACACAGCUGCAGUCAGAAUUACAGCCAAUUCCCCCAAAAACAGCAUUGGGGAACUCCCAAUAUUUAAUAGUUCGGGUGAAGUUUUGCUGGUAGCUGUUGGACAUUGGUAUAUUUGGUUGACAAGUAAGGAAACUGCUCUUGGACAGUCAGACUUCCACCAGAUCAGUUGUGAGGACACAUAAAGCAGAAUAUUGGUCAGCAGUGCCACCUUUUUAUCAAGGAAUUGAAGCCUUAAUGUGUGGGAAACAAUAAAGGUAAGAAGACUCUCAGAAGCCACGAAAAUAAGCCUCAAGAAAAAGCAGAGAACUUAGAGCUAGUUGCAGCUGCAAGGCCUGAAAGUAAAGAAGAUACAAUAAUACAACAUGCAAGGACAUGAAACAAUAGUUGAGUUUUUAGGCUUGGCCAAGAUAGACCUUAAGACUGCAGAAAAACAUGCUUACCAAAAUAGUGGAAAGUUUUAAGCUUAAUAACAGAGUAUUGUGUAUUGUUAGUAGAAAGCAAACAAGCAAGCAUUGUUUGAAGAAGGUGUACGUAUGUUUCUAGCGACUGGAUAGAACAAUUGUCUGUAAGGUUUAGCAAUAUGAUAUUGGCUGAAAACCUUAUAAAAUAUUCUGUAACAAAGAGAUCUUGAGCUACUUGUGGUAGACAUGAGCCUGCUCCAUCUCCUGUAUCUGUACCUGAGACUGGUGCCUGAAAUAAAAGUUUAUGACGUAUCA